CAGCAGCCACGGUAAAACAGAGGGUGCGAGCGUUAAUCGGAUUUACUGGGCGUAAAGCGUGCGUAGGCGGCUUUUUAAGUCGGAUGUGAAAUCCCUGAGCUUAACUUAGGAAUUGCAUUCGAUACUGGGAAGCUAGAGUAUGGGAGAGGAUGGUAGAAUUCCAGGUGUAGCGGUGAAAUGCGUAGAGAUCUGGAGGAAUACCGAUGGCGAAGGCAGCCAUCUGGCCUAAUACUGACGCUGAGGUACGAAAGCAUGGGGAGCAAACAGGAUUAGAUACCCCUGUAGUCCCUGUCUCUUAUAC
rnacentral:rRNA from 1 species